GUGUUCGCUUCAGCAGCACAUAUACUAAAAUUGGAAUGAUACAGAGAAGAUUAUCAUGGCCCCUGCACGAGAAAUUGAGCUUAGACCAAAACCUUAUACCACAUUCCA